AACGCUAGCUACAGGCUUAACACAUGCAAGUCGAGGGGCAUCAGGAAGAAAGCUUGCUUUCUUUGCUGGCGACCGGCGCACGGGUGAGUAACACGUAUCCAACCUGCCGAUGACUCGGGGAUAGCCUUUCGAAAGAAAGAUUAAUACCCGAUGGUAUAUCUGAAAGGCAUCUUUCAGCUAUUAAAGAAUUUCGGUCAUUGAUGGGGAUGCGUUCCAUUAGGUUGUUGGCGGGGUAACGGCCCACCAAGCCAUCGAUGGAUAGGGGUUCUGAGAGGAAGGCCCCCCACAUUGGAACUGAGACACGGUCCAAACUCCUACGGGAGGCAGCAGUGAGGAAUAUUGGUCAAUGGACGAGAGUCUGAACCAGCCAAGUAGCGUGAAGGAUGACUGCCCUAUGGGUUGUAAACUUCUUUUAUACGGGAAUAAAGUUAGGCACGUGUGCCUUUUUGUACGUACCGUAUGAAUAAGGAUCGGCUAACUCCGUGCCAGCAGCCGCGGUAAUACGGAGGAUCCGAGCGUUAUCCGGAUUUAUUGGGUUUAAAGGGAGCGUAGGCGGAUGCUUAAGUCAGUUGUGAAAGUUUGCGGCUCAACCGUAAAAUUGCAGUUGAUACUGGGUGUCUUGAGUACAGUAGAGGCAGGCGGAAUUCGUGGUGUAGCGGUGAAAUGCUUAGAUAUCACGAAGAACUCCGAUUG
rnacentral:rRNA from 1 species